rnacentral:rRNA from 1 species
GUGGAGCAUGUGGCUUAAUUUGACUCAACGCGGGGAAUCUUACUAGGUCCGGACCGAUUCUAUGAUCGUCGUACUGUGGGGUGCUACGUGAUUACUGGAUGAGUGGUGCAUGGCCGUUCUUAGUUCGUGGUGUUAAUUGUCUACUUAAUUGUCAUCGGUUCUCGUAUCAUGCGAGAAUUAAUAACGAACGAGAUCGAGACCCGUGGUUGCGUCAUAGUUUAUAUGUGUACGACGUUAACUACGGGGAUCGCGUAACACUCCACGGUACGAUCGAAAGACUCGGCAAUAACAGGUCUGUGAUGCCCUCAGAUGUUCUAGGCUGCACACGUGCUACAGUGUGGCGCUGUAUCGUAGUAUUGUGUGCAUGCAGAGAACUGAUAAGAUCCCCCGCACCGAGUCAUAACUGGUCACACGGUUGGACUCACCGAUUGUCAAUUAUUCGGUAUACUAACUAGGAAUGCCUCGUACCGGGUCGGUUCAACGAGACCCCCUGGAAUCCGUCCCUGCCCUUUGUACACACCGCCCGUCGCUCUUACCGAUGGGCGUGGUUAUUAGCAUCGACGAAUCUCUCUCGAGGUGAAUCGACGCAUGUAACCACGCCUAAAGGAAAGAGAAGUCGUAACAAGGCAUCG